rnacentral:lncRNA from 1 species
UGAACAUCUGAGACUCUUGAUUUAGGAAAGAAAAACUGCUGAUCAUCUGCAAAAGCAAUUAAUUAUUUUCUACCUUUCUCUCUUCUCACCCACAGUGAAAAAGUGAAGGUGUAGACAUGAUGAACAAUGAUAAAGGUGACAGAAAUGUUCAUGUACAAAGUCACGCUUCUUUCCAAAGCUGCUAGGAUGGAAAUCUAAAAAGCAGUGGAAGAGUGAGCUCAGCAUCUCCAGUGAGGCAGUGUCUGUUCACUCUGUGCAAAGACCUGUGCACUGUUUCCACAGCCCUUGGCAGGAGAUUACCACAAAGUGAUAUUUUAAAGCAGGGAUUAAGAUACAGAGAUUACAAAGUCUUCCUUGUAGCCUGUGUAUGAGGAAUAGAAUACGGGGCCCUAUAAAAAACCUCUCAUGUUUA